CAGCAGCCGCGGUAAUACGGAGGGGGCUAGCGUUGUUCGGAAUUACUGGGCGUAAAGCGUGCGUAGGCGGUUCGUUAAGUCUGUUGUGAAAGCCCCGGGCUCAACCUGGGAAUGGCAAUGGAUACUGGCGAGCUAGAGUGUGUCAGAGGAUGGUGGAAUUCCCGGUGUAGCGGUGAAAUGCGUAGAGAUCGGGAGGAACAUCAGUGGCGAAGGCGGCCAUCUGGGACAACACUGACGCUGAGGCACGAAAGCGUGGGGAGCAAACAGGAUUAGAUACCCCGGUAGUCCCUGUCUCUUAUAC
rnacentral:rRNA from 1 species